UACGGAGGAUGCGAGCGUUAUCCGGAUUUAUUGGGUUUAAAGGGUGCGUAGGCGGCUUCUUAAGUCAGCGGUGAAAUUUUGCAGCUUAACUGUAACAGUGCCGUUGAUACUGGGGAGCUAGGAUUUGGUUGCUGUGGGUGGAAUGUGUGGUGUAGCGGUGAAAUGCUUAGAGAUCACACAGAAUAUCGAUUGCGAAGGCAGCUCACAAAGCCAAGAUUGACGCUGAGGCACGAAAGUGUGGGGAGCGAACAGGA
rnacentral:rRNA from 1 species